GAUGAAGAACGCAGUGAAAUGCGAUACGUAAUGUGAAUUGCAGAAUUCAGUGAAUCAUCGAAUCUUUGAACGCACAUUGCGCCUGCCAGCACUCUGGCAGGCAUGCCUGUUCGAGCGUCAUUUCAACCAUCAAGCCCUAGGCUUGCGUUGGAGCCCUGCGGCUGCCGCAGGCCCCUAAAAGCAGUGGCGGGCUCGCUAUCACACCGAGUGCAGUAGAUUACUCUUCGCUCAGGGCGUGUGGCGGGUUCCGGCCGUGAAACCCCCUAUUUCUAAAGGUUGACCUCGGAUCAGGUAGGAAUACCCGCUGAACUUAAGCAUAUCAAUAAGCGGAGGA
rnacentral:misc_RNA from 1 species